UACGUAGGGUGCAAGCGUUAAUCGGAAUUACUGGGCGUAAAGCGUGCGCAGGCGGUUUUGUAAGUCUGUCGGUGAAAUCCCCGGGGCUCAACCUGGGAAUUGCGAUGGAGACUGCAAGGCUAGAAUCUGGCAGAGGGGGGUAGAAUUCCACGUGUAGCAGUGAAAUGCGUAGAGAUGUGGAGGAACACCGAUGGCGAAGGCAGCCCCCCUGGGUCAAGAUUGACGCUGCCAUGGACACGAAAGGCGUGGGGAGCAAACGAAGGAUUACGUAAACCCCGUAGUAAGUCCAUGACCCAAGUC
rnacentral:rRNA from 1 species